rnacentral:rRNA from 1 species
UAGCGAACCGUGCGAACGUUGUUCGGAGUUCACUGGGCUUAAAGGGCGCGUAGGCGGGCGGUCAAGUCGGGGGUGAAAUCUUUCAGCUUAACUGGAAAAGUGCCUCCGAUACUGAUCGCCUCGAGGGAGGUAGGGGCAUGUGGAACUUCCGGUGGAGCGGUGAAAUGCGUAGAUAUCGGAAGGAACGCCGGUGGCGAAAGCGACGUGCUGGACCUCUUCUGACGCUGAGGCGCGAAAGCUAGGGGAGCAAACGGG